rnacentral:rRNA from 1 species
AGAGUUUGAUUUUGGCUCAGGAUGAACGCUGGCGGCGUGCUUAACACAUGCAAGUCGAACGGGAAACAUUUAUUGAAGCUUCGGCAGAUUUAGUUUGUUUCUAGUGGCGGACGGGUGAGUAACGCGUGGGUAACCUGCCUCACACUGGGGGAUAACAGUCAGAAAUGACUGCUAAUACCGCAUAAGCGCACGGGUUUGCAUGAUCCAGUGUGAAAAACUCCGGUGGUGUGAGAUGGACCCGCGUUGGAUUAGCCAGUUGGCAGGGUAACGGCCUACCAAAGCGACGAUCCAUAGCCGGCCUGAGAGGGUGGACGGCCACAUUGGGACUGAGACACGGCCCAGACUCCUACGGGAGGCAGCAGUGGGGAAUAUUGCACAAUGGGGGAAACCCUGAUGCAGCGACGCCGCGUGAAGGAAGAAGUAUCUCGGUAUGUAAACUUCUAUCAGCAGGGAAGAAAAUGACGGUACCUGACUAAGAAGCCCCGGCUAACUACGUGCCAGCAGCCGCGGUAAUACGUAGGGGGCAAGCGUUAUCCGGAUUUACUGGGUGUAAAGGGAGCGUAGACGGAGCAGCAAGUCUGAUGUGAAAGGCAGGGGCUCAACCCCUGGACUGCAUUGGAAACUGUUGAUCUUGAGUACCGGAGAGGUAAGCGGAAUUCCUAGUGUAGCGGUGAAAUGCGUAGAUAUUAGGAGGAACACCAGUGGCGAAGGCGGCUUACUGGACGGUAACUGACGUUGAGGCUCGAAAGCGUGGGGAGCAAACAAGAUUAGAUACCCUGGUAGUCCACGCCGUAAACGAU